UACGAAGGGGGCUAGCGUUGCUCGGAAUCACUGGGCGUAAAGGGUGCGUAGGCGGGUCUUUAAGUCAGGGGUGAAAUCCUGGAGCUCAACUCCAGAACUGCCUUUGAUACUGUAGAGCUUGAGUUCGGGAGAGGUGAGUGGAACUGCGAGUGUAGAGGUGAAAUUCGUAGAUAUUCGCAAGAACACCAGUGGCGAAGGCGGCUCACUGGCCCGAUACUGACGCUGAGGCACGAAAGCGUGGGGAGCAAACAGG
rnacentral:rRNA from 1 species